CCUGCCACGGGCAGGGACACCUUCCACUAGAGCAGCUUGCUCCAAGUCCCUGUGUCCAACCUGGCCUUGAACACUGCCAGGGAUGGGGCAGCCACAGCUUCUCUGGGCACCCUGUGCCAGCGCCUCAGCACCCUCACAGGGAAGAGCUUCUGCCUAAGAGCUCAUCUCGGUCUCCCCUCUGGCAGGUUAAAGCCAUUCCCCUUGGCCUGUCCCUACAGGCCCUUGUCCAAAGCCCCUCUCCAGAUUCCUUGUAGGUAAAGCUACCGAGAGAGAGGAAACACUACUGAGCUGUGUAACCAAAACCCAAAUAAUAUCACCAAAAGGUGCUCGUUUCAGGUGCUGUUUGUAAAAGCAGUUUCCCUCGAGCUGUGGAUCUCAGCUACUUUUCCCUCUCCAUUAUGUACUGUGUGAGCCUCUUGCGGUGAAAGAAAUUCCUUCCUCAGAACGACUUUCCUGUGAGUGGAAGUACCAGGAAUCUGAUUGAGGGUUUUGUCACAUGCUUCUUGGUAUAGAUAGAUAGAUAUAAACACGUGAGCAUGUAGAGUAAUGUAUGUGCUGGCGUGUAAGCCAACCGCUAACUGAUGAGGGUCAGGAAGAAACUUCUCUCCUGGGCAUGUUAAUUCGUAACAGGCUACUAUACAGUUUCUCCUACUUUUAUCUCCAGCAUCUGAUACCAGCCAGUGCUGGAGACAGGAUACUGGUUGAACCACUGGUCUCAACUUGUCUGGCUUUUUCUCUGUUUGAUAUUUUAAUUUCAUUUAUCACAGUCUGUAGAAUGAUGGAGAGUGAAGCAUGCAUUGCAUUUCUAUGAAUAAAGACUCAGAAAUAAAGAACAUGCCUCUACCACA